GUGACCUUGGUGAAGCAGUUAUCACAACGCGCUGUGGCCGCGUUAUCAUGGGUGCAACUCCCAUAGGUCACC
rfam:Parcubacteria group bacterium CG1_02_40_82 cg1_0.2_scaffold_3442_c, whole genome shotgun sequence.